AAAUUGAUGUACCCAGUGGGGGAGCCAGGAAGUAUUGAUGUUUCUGCCAGUUUAGCGUCAACACUUGCUGGUUUCCUCUCUGGAGCAUCA
rnacentral:pre_miRNA from 1 species